rnacentral:lncRNA from 1 species
ACCGCCCUCGCUCCAGCUGUUACCUGGCACAUCCUCCGUGCCCUCCAACAGCAUAUCCUUCGUGAAGUUCGAAAUCUGGCCAGUGAGGGAAGCCAGGCUGCCCCCUACUUGACCGAGAGACUGGCCCAAGCCGGAGCCGAGGCCCCCGAGCCAGGACGACAUCGCUGCGGGUGGACACGUCCUCUCCAAAUGUCCCUGGACGCCGAAGCUGGUGCGGAUCCAGACGCUGAGGACUCGCAGGACACGGCACUCCCACCAACGGCCGCGUCAGAAAGCCGAGGCCCGGCCUGACGCUUCACCAAGGGUUCGCCGUUGUGGACACCGUGGGCCCCGCGAGGCCUCUGCUCAUUCCCACGGCUUCCCGCCGUGCGGCUGCACUACUUCUUUCUCAGCUUUACUGACUUUCCUCAGUUUCGUGGGCCAGUCCUGCCAACUCAACGCCGGCCGCCAUGACACUGCCGGGAAAGCGGCAGUGACCAUAGAGAAGCUUCGCGAUAGCGUAGAAGGGCCGCUGCCAGAGGCGUCCCGGGCGCGAAGGACCGUGGGAUCGCGGAGGACCAAGUAAAUGGGCCAGCCAGAUCCGUGACUUCCGCGUAACCUGCGGAACUUUAGGUGGAGACCGAAAAGGCAGUGGCGGCGGCGGUGGCUCUUCCCACCUGCGCAGCUGCUUUUGUUUGUAAGAGGAAGUAACCCUUGACAGUGCCUUCUGAUCCUGUCUACAAGAGCUAUUGCAUCGCUAGGAUUCGAUAGGGUCGUCCCACCCCACAGGGAAGCAACCUCAAUCCAUCUGCAUUACUCUAUUAUCCAGCGUCUGCGGAUAUAAGAGCAUCCGUGCCAGAGGGUUGGAAACGAGGCUACAAAGCUGAAAAAGCGGGUUGCAAUUCAAAUGUCCAGGCAGAAAACCCUUGUUUUGGUGUUUGUUUUCAGUUACCAUGCACUUAAAGGAUUGUGGGAUCCCAUGACCGCCUCUCAAAUGAUCCCUCUCUGAAUAAUUUUCACCAGAUAUCUAUUUGAAUUUAGGGGUUGCCUCCGAGGGUUUUUCAGCUUCCGUGUCCCAGAACAAGGAAUUGGACAGAGACACGUGGCUAGUAGUAAGGAAG